UUCCCAAAAAAUCUUAAAGCAAAAACACGUGGAAACCUUCUUUGCCUCAACUUUCAAAGACUCAAACCCUUUUCUCUCCUCAAAAACCUUUCUCUAUUUACGAUUCCUCUUUCUCUCCUCGGAUCGAAAACUCUCUCUCCAAAUACUCCCCUUUUCAUCGCAAUUCUCCCUCAAAUCUCUCAAUCUUUCCAUGUGUUUCUCAGUCUCUCUCGAAAUACGUUUCUACACUAAAAAAAAAAUUCUCUUUCUCUCUUCGGAUCUCAUUCUCUCGCGAUCUGGUUCUUUGUCUUGAUGAUGGUGGUUGUUCGGUUGUCAUUGGUGAUGUUGUGUUGCGGGUUUGGUUGGUGAAGAUGGAAUCAGAAUGUAUGGUGAUGGCGAUGGAGGUUUGUAAGGAGGGUGAAGGCGGAAGUGGUGACGGAGGGAUGGUAGGUUUGGACGUACGGAUGGUAAGUUUGGACGGACGGUAGGUUGCGAUGGUUUCGGUUUAAAGGAGAAGAGUGAAUCUAUUUAGAUGGUUAGGUAGCGAGGAAGCUUGAAGGGUUUGGGCGGAAGGGGUGAUGAUGGUUGCAGGUAGGGCGGCGAGUUUGGUUGAUAUCGGCGGAGGCUACGGCAAGGUGGCGAGACGGAUAUGGAAUUGCGAACGGCGGUGGUAUGUUGGCCGGAAGGAUGAUGGUGGUGAGACAUAUGGAGGAAUAUGGUGGAUGAUGGGAAGGGGGAUUCGGCGGAGGCAACUUGAAGGUGAUGGUGAUGAUUGGGCUUGGUGAGGAUGAAGACGACGACAUCAUCAGGUUUACAGGCCCUGGACUUAACAAAAGCAGCAAUGAAACUACUUUUCUCUCACAGUCUCGACAUCAUAACAACAGAACAACAAAAACUUAAAAUAAUACCCUCUUCAUGAAAUUCUGUUUUUUAUGAGUUCAUAUUUUAAGUUUGAAAUUGUUGUUAUUAUAACUUGGAUAUUGUUGUGGUCUUUUUGCAGAGGCAGGAAUAAUGGUCAAGAAAAGCGAACAAGAAUUCAAAUAUUCAUGCCAUGAGAUUAAUAAAGGAGUGCAAAGAAUUUGAAGAAAUACCCGCUCUGAAUGUUCUCGGAGGUGAAGACCCGUUGAUUUUAAUACCAAAUUGAUGAAGAAAUAUAGCUGUUAGAAUUGUCUUAAAGUGUAGAAAAAAAGUCAAGCUAGCAUAGCACAACAUGCUGUUUGGAGAGGACAGAUUGUAAACACAAAAAUGUGGAAGAAGACAAACACAGAGACAAGAAGAUGUUUGGACUUGAAACCAAAAAGAAAAAAAACUCUAGGAUUUUUGACCUACCUGCCACUAGGGGUGAUCAAAACCAAACCAACCCAAUAGAAAACCGCAAACCAAACCAAACCAAACCGAAACCGCAAAAAACCGCAUUUGGUUCGGAUUAGUUUGGGUCAGUUUUUACAAAACCGCACGGUUCGGUUCAGUUUGCGGUUUGUAUUUUGUAAACCGAACCAAACCGAAUCAAACCGCACUAUGUUACAACCUAAAUUUUACUAAAUCACAUCCAACAUAAACUUAAACUUAUUAUACAUUAGCAUUAUGAUUACGAACAAUUUUCUCAUCCUUACACAUAUAAUUUCAGUCCCGAUCUUCUAAAAUCUCUAAUAACAUUAUCGCACCUUCUUUGCCACAUA